UACGUAGGGAGCAAGCGUUGUCCGGAAUCAUUGGGCGUAAAGCGCGCGUAGGCGGCCUCAUAAGUCCGUUGUGAAAGUCAAAGGCUCAACCUUUGAAAGCCGAUGGAUACUGUGAGGCUAGAGUCUGGAAGAGGCGAGUGGAAUUCCUGGUGUAGCGGUGGAAUGCGCAGAUAUCAGGAGGAACACCAAUAGCGAAGGCAGCUCGCUGGGACGGUACUGACGCUAAGGCGCGAAAGCGUGGGGAGCGAACAGG
rnacentral:rRNA from 1 species